GAGAGAGGCAUGAUAAGCAUCAAAAACUGCUAAUUUUUGACACCUGGGUUAAACUCCCGGGCUCACUCG
rnacentral:tRNA from 1 species